CCCGCACAAGCGGAGGAACAUGUGGUUUAAUUCGAUGAUACGCGAGGAACCUUACCUGGGUUUAAAUGGGAGUGACAGCUGUCGAAAGAUGGUUUUCUUCGGACACUCUUCAAGGUGCUGCAUGGUUGUCGUCAGCUCGUGCCGUGAGGUGUCGGGUUAAGUCCCAUAACGAGCGCAACCCACGUCGUUAGUUGCCAACAGGUCAAGCUGGGAACUCUAACGAGACUGCCGGUGUAAACCGCGAGGAAGGUGUGGAUGACGUCAAAUCAGCACGGCCCUUACAUCCAGGGCUACACACGUGUUACAAUGGUCGGUACAGAGGGCAGCUACCAGGCAACUGGAUGCGAAUCUCAAAAACCGGUCUCAGUUCGGAUUGGAGUCUGCAACUCGACUCCAUGAAGUUGGAAUCGCUAGUAAUCGCGGAUCAGCACGCCGCGGUGAAUACGUUCCCGGGCCUU
rnacentral:rRNA from 1 species